rnacentral:rRNA from 1 species
UACGGGGGGGAGCAAGCGUUGUUCGGAUUUACUGGGCGUAAAGGGCGCGUAGGCGGCCAGCACAAGUCAGUUGUGAAAUCUCCGAGCUUAACUCGGAAAGGUCAACUGAUACUGUGCGGCUAGAGUCCGGAAGAGGCGAGUGGAAUUCCUGGUGUAGCGGUGAAAUGCGCAGAUAUCAGGAAGAACACCCGUGGCUAAGGCGGCUCUCUAGUACGGUACUGACGCUGAGACGCGAAAGCGUGGGGAGCGAACAGG